ensembl:lncRNA
AUACAGCAUCUCGGUCCUCUGAGGCAUACAUUUCACAUAGCUCCGCGUCCCCGCUAUGGCUGCACACACUGGCAGACGCGAGCGCUGACAAGCUGGCCAGGACGCGGCCAGCCUGAGUCUGGGGCUCGGCUGAUAAGAGCGAAGCGGAGGAGGUCACCGAGCUCACUGCAUUGAGACAUAACCGCGAGUCAAUUCAAUUUCCUUAAGGACACAGGAGUCCAAUGCCCAAUCCGAACAUUUCAUAUCCCAGCCAAGGCUCCCCUUGCCCUUUGCCCGAUCUCAUCAGAUGAGAAAGCGAGAAAGGUGGAGGAACGAGUAAGAGAAAGCCUGAAAAAUAGAAGAGGGAGUGUGUCAGGCAGCAGUUGUCGGAGGCGGUAGGAACUUUUGAAGUUACGGCAAUGGCCUAGAAAAUCCUAAUUUUCUGACAGUGCUGUGUUUAUAACCAGUGAUCAAGCACCAGCUCAUCUCAAAGUGUAUGUCAAUGUCAAUGUGUGUGUGUGUGUGUGUGUUGGGGGGCAGGAACAUCAGAGAGCAUAUUCACAAACAGAUUGAGUAAAGCUUUAGCACGGACAAACAGGCCAACACUAUUGGGAUGUCAGGUUCCGUAAAAGAGAAGAAAUCAGCUUUGCCCCAACACUUUAAUUAUUCAUGCCGGCGUGUCCUUGGCUUCCAGUGGAUAGUAGGAGCAGUAUGCAUAGAUACCACCCAGCAGAGAUCACGAAAUAACUGAAGACUUUAGGACGCAUGUGGACACCCACAGAUCUGGAGCAAAAUAAAAGAUUUAAACUUAACAUCCUCUGCCUACUUAGACCAAACACACCCAAGAUGUGGGCCGUGUUUUGUAAAUCCUAAUUUUAGAGAACCUUCACUUGAAUUCUUAAUGGGGCCAAGUGAUCAAAGGGCUGCCAUCAUGACUUGAUGAAGCCAAAGCUUUGGCAGCAGUAAAACAAAGUGAGAGUAACACGAUUAAACUGAUGACAAGCUGCGUUACGACUGUGGUUUCACACUGAACAAACAAUGCCAGAGUCGUUCUUGACAAAUGGACUCAUGGAAAGUAAAAUGGGGUAAGCGUAGAUUACUGAGCCAUCACUUUUCCCCAAGCAAGUGAAUAAGGACAUCUUGCUUUUGAAUGUCCUCUUUGGAUGACAUUCAAAUAAUCCAACAGAGUUGUUAUUUGCUUGACAGACACAAAGUCACCCUUUUUAUGGCAAAAGAAAAUGAGUUUGUGUACAUUUAUGAGCAUUGUGGUGCGUCUUUGUGUUCAUAAAAAGGCCCACUGUGUAAGCUUUGGUUUGUUUUCUCUGGAUGUAUUGAUGGUUCAUGGAUAAAUAGUCGUGUUUGUUUAUGUAACGGGUGGGGAAAGAAGCACGAGGCCCCGUCGAAGCAAAAUAACUGCAGAUUAAAUAUAGAAAAAAACUUUUAUAUAGAAAAAAAUCGACUUAGUAAAUAUUCCAAUGACAGUUAUGAACUUUAUCGCUCACAAUAAAAUAAUUUCACUGGUAAUGCAAAUAAACUGGGGACCCUAAACGGCUCCCCAGGUAAUUUAUCAAUUCAUAAAUAAUGCAGCUACAGGCUCAUUCUAUAAGCUUAAUCAAUAGUUUGUGGGACUUUAGCAGACAGCACAGACACGGACUUCACACUGGUGGGCGCCUGAAAUGAAUGUUGCAAUAAAGAAACCAGAUGCCUGAGAGCCUGUGAACAACUCCUUUGAUGUAGCAGAAAAUUCAUCAGCACUAAAAAAUGCCGAGCUAGAGAAGAGAGCGCAUGAAGAGGUGGUGAUGAGCAGCUGAGCAAAAGAAGAGCAGCUGAUGAAAAGGUUUGAGAUCUUUUUUAAAGUAGAGGACAACAACAUACGGGCUAAUAAUCAGAGUGCAAUCACACCGCAUAAUGGCUGAUUUAUCUUGAUUCAUAAACCUCCCAUCAAGUGGGGGACAUUUAUCGGAACAAUCACAUUCUGUAUCCUACUCGCUACCUUAAACAUAGGUUUUUGGGGUUCAAUUGUUAAGGGAAAGUGGUGUUGCUCUAGUGAUACUACGUAGAUAAUGUGGCAGGGUUGACAGGGUCAAAUUUGGUGGUCACUACACUGACCAAUACCACUAUUCUAUAGUCUGUAGGACACCAAAUAAUUAUGAUUAUGUAGUGCGAGAGAGAGAGAGAGAGAGAGAGAGAGAGAGGGGACGAAGUGAAACGGCCCACAAACAGCAUCACUGAGGAGAAUCUCUGGAGCUUUAUUACCAGACUUUCAGCAACAACUCAACCAUGUGGAAGCGGACAUGCUGUACGGGUUCUUCUCAUCUGCCUCCCUUUCCUCCUGUAUUCACAUCCUCCUCGGUCACCCUUGUCAUCUCCCCUCUCGCCCAUAUGUGUGGCUGCCAACACCUUCACCUCGGCCGCCCAUCCGACUGCCUUAUUUGCUCUGUAAUGUUGUCGGGAAGGCAGCAAACCUUUCCGCGGGUCACUGCUUUGAGGUCAAACUUGUAACUCACUGCCUGACAGAAGGAAAAAAAGAGGCCAAAAGUGGUGAAGGAAAUGUGGCUCUUUAAUGCCCAACUGGAGGGAGGGAGGGAGAAACAGAGAGAGAAACGGGGGGAACGUGGCGGCGGCAGACGAGAAGGAGAGAAGUCACAAAGACCUGCCAUUCCGAGGGCUUCACAAGGAGAAAAGAAAGACAGCCAGCUGAGGAAUACUCGCACACAACCACAGCGGGUAUCCCACUUAGUUUUACAGCCUCGCGUUGCACUAAAGCGCAGUACCUGACAGCAGCCGACGGGCCUCACAGCAGGAGGCGGUGCAGGGAGGCACACGGCACAUGUUGUCUUGCACACGCACAUCCAUGCGUGAAAAAGGGUUUACAGCCGAGCGAAACGGGAUGUAUAAUUAAAACGCUGCCUUCUUUAAGACAUCGUGUGCAUUAAGUUCAGUUUGACGUCAAACCAAAGUGCCAGCACGUCUUGUGGGGGUUAAGUUAUGUUAAGAAAACCACGAGAAGAAUGUGAGCUUUCUGACUUUUUAGAUCUGCCCUUUAUGUACAUGAGCGGACACACAACGUCCACAGAGGAGCGAAAAUACGAGCGCACAUCUGAGUGACGAGGGAAGAGAAUGAGGCGCUGCGGUGAUGAGUGAGAGAUUGAGGUCAUCCUGCUUCCUGAUGCUUUGUUACAGAUAGAGGGUUUUUAUCUCCAAAAGCUGCCAGUUAUUAAUGUGAAUCUAAUUAAUCACCGCCCUUCCUCUGACACAUAUUUAAAAAGGGGUGACAUUAUUGGGGCAGACGUCAUUGAAAACAAAGAGCAUCUUGAAUAAUCACAUAAAGCACAAUAUUGCACAAUAUUGUCUUCGAUCACUGGAAAUCAUCAUUCAUUUUUAAUGGAGCAGAGUUGCUCACAGAUUGCACACUUUUACAAUUUAAAUCCUAUUUCCAUAACAGCAUUGUGGACUAGGCCAUAGAGAGAGCCUUUCUAACUUUAUGAGUCAAAUCUACGAGCAUGUUUAUAGUGCCAGAAGGACAAUAAAACAAGAGCUUUUUCCAUUAGAUUUUUUCAAGAAUCCUUUAAUUUAUUGCACAGUGCUGAAACACUGGGUUGAAAGCUGCAUUCCAUCACUCGUACAACAGAAACUCAGCACACUUUAUAGGUUUCGCCCCACUUUCUGCACAUAAAAUCUAGUGUUCCUUAUGUAAAUAUGCAGGAACACACUCAUCCAGAUUAAGCAAGAUGACAGAAAGAUAGAGAGCAGGUGCUGCAGUAGAUGCAUAGAUGUAAUUAACCUCCCAGCUGUUUCCCUAAUGCACAUCAGGUCAGUCCAAACAUUGUGCAUGGAUGCAUUCCAACAAAACACAAUACAUGAGAUGGGUGGAAUGAUCACAAAUAUAAUUUCCAUGCAACGUUUUCUAUUUCUCAAAAAGAGUUUGCAAUGGAAUGAUAAAAGAAAGAAUAUAACAAUCAAAUGACAAAUGACCAAAAACCAGUACACGGUCAUUUAAGAAUCACUGUGAAUGUCAAUUAAACAUAGGCAUGAAAAACAAAUGAAAUGGAACUUUGUAAUCUCGCUGUUUUGUUUUGUUGAAAUGAACACAAAGGCUCUUCACACCUGAAUGUGAAGAACAAGCUAAAUCUCCACUUGGAUUGUUGUUCCUCGCUCUGGCCGUCAAACCACAGCAGACAGAAAUGCAGUUGGUCUGUCUCUGCGAGCACGAACUGGGGACCCAUUUCAGAUGAAGCAGGCCACUUAUUCUGUUUUCAAGGUACACUAUAACAAAAAAAAAACCAGACACCUACAUUUAUAAUUGGGGCUGUGUUUCCUUUUCUCGCACAUUCCUAAAGCAGCGGAGUGAGAGACUCACACUAAAGCAAUUUGUGUCGGCAUCGGCUGAUGUCAACUGGGAACAGGAAGAUAAUGAAGCAGAAAACGCACCUCAAACCAAAACUCACAGCGACGUUGAACAUUCAUUGUAUCUCACAUUAACUUUUAGAAUGUUUGUUACAAAAGUGUCGGCAGGGUGAUUUGGCAGAUGCUCAAUGUCUGCUGUUGAGCCACUGAGGCUCAUUCGAAUUUCAAUUAGGUGAGGAGGAAGGAAAUAAGGGGGAAAGAAGAGAGGGAGAAUCGUGUGGAAGUGGGGCGCUAGGCAGCACCAGUCCAAUCACUCAUAGACGAGUCAUUUGUCUCCUUCUCUGAGGGGCACUCAUUCAAUUAUUCUUCUGUUUUCUUUAAAGGAGAGCAAGUAUUGAUUCAUUUGUCCUUACACAAUAUCAAGAGAGCAGUUCCCCCAAAAAGCUCCUGCACGAAUGAAAUACAUAUACAGUAGCAAUCCUUACAAGAUUAAUGGCGUAGCGUUUCAUGUGCACUCUGUCACAGCUGCUGAACGCCUAUCAUUUAUUGUACUCCUUUAGGUUAGGGUGACAUCCAACUGUUUUGUUUUUUUCAAAAGUAAGCAAAGAAGAAGGGCACACUCCCCCAAUACAGUUAAACAUGUGUCAAGAGAGCCAAGACUGCAUCAACGGUCCAAUCACACUUAAAUAACAGCGUGUGACAAGUGGUCACUCUAAAAAAGCCACUAAGCAAGCUUUUGGGAUUUUAACACAGAGGAUUGAAAAGGCCAACAUCAAUGAUUUGGGCUCCAUGGAGCUGCCAAAAGCUCUGCUUCCACAAGCUCUGUCCUGGAGGAUGAGGAGGAAAGGGAAGGGGAUUAUUUAUUUCUCUACCAAUGUGAGUCCAUUAUGGAUUCUGGCGGGGAUUUACGGAUAUAAGAAAUACACACAGUUUCUAAUGGGUGUUGCAAGUGUGUGCGAGAUGAGUUGCAUACAUUGCAAGUCAUUGUUGUGUGUGUGUGUGUGUGUGUGUGUGUCUGUGUUAGCAUGUGUGUACGUUAGCAUAAAAUUGUGCAUGUAUGUGCAUGAGAGAGGAGGGACAGAAAGAAAGAGAGAGGAAUGAGAGGAGGAAGGAGGAGAAACUGAGAGCCAGCAGAAAAGAAUUGCUGUAAAUUGUUAACGGUGAGAGCCGGCUAGAUUGCUGACUCAUGUUUGCCAGCCAAUUACACCCCCCAGGACUGGUUGGCAACCCAAUAAUGAUUGAGCUGCUGUUUGGGCUUUUCACAGCAAUUCGUUAUAUUGAGGAUUUUUUAAACCAAAACUAUAAAGUCACAUUUUUCUAAUUCCAAACAUAUGGCUUGUUCAUUCAUUCGUUAAUGAUUUUUUGAGUUUGUGCUUUUUGCCUUCUUUCCAUCUGUAGGCGAUACUACUACAGAAAACAUUCAUUUUUGUGUUUGCAGAAAAAGAAGGUUUGAGAUAUUCUCUAUACAGAGAAUUACCCAGAGGGAAUGUAUACAUUUGAGUCUUCCUUCCAUAAUGGCAGUGUAUCCUACGGGCGAAAGAAUGCAUGAAUGUGAAUUCAUUAAUUUCAUGCUAUGAUUGAAAUACCACUUUAAAAAAACCCAAUCAGCAACAGCUCCAAGCAACAUAAUACAAGACGUUUGAAAGAGAACGUAAAAUAAAAAUAAUGGGACUAAGUGUUAUCAAAAUAGUACAUUGUAUUGAGGCAUAGAAAUGCUAUUUCAAAGUUUUGGUUGACUGGAUGAGACAAUAUGAUUAUUAUUAUGGAACCAUCUUGGUGCAUGCAAUACAGAAUAUGCACAACAACCCCAAGCACAGACUUGUUAGAGUAAAUUGCCACCACAACAAUAUUACUUUAUAAGUUAGAUUCUGAAAUUGCACGACGGUCUCCACAUACUGUCGAUGCGUCUAGAUAACCGAGCCGCGUGCAGUCACCCAAGAUGGAAAAGAAUGUAAUCUGUUGAACGAGACAAAUCUUUAAAUAAAAUCGCAUUUCCUCCCCAUUGCCGUUGUGCUUUGUCGGCAAAAAUGAGGAUUUACGUUGACUCCUCAGAUAGUCAGGGCCACUGGUGAACAAAAAGGGUUAUUAUUCAUAUCACAGGAGCGAACAGACACACACACACACACACAAAAUGUCUCAGACAUCCAUUUGCACUUUCUCAUCCAUUGGUAUUCAACGUCUCCUUCUGCCCGCUCCUUUAUGCCUCCUGUGCGGCUCUUGGGCUUUUGGUUACAAGAGGAACACGUCUGCUUAACAGGCUCCGCAUAUUUACAAGAGACCUGUAAUAAAGGGGGGCGGCCAAGAGCGGUGAGACAGUGGGAGGGCAAAGCUGACGCAAACACCUCCAGACUGGCUCCUGACCUCCAGACGGAGUGAGAGCGGUGGUGAAAACCAACACUCAAAGAAUAUUCAAAUUGGUUCUGUGAUCAGAGAACGUCUGUUAUAGCAAAUGAUUUUUGAUACAAAUACACUGUGCGAUUGCAAGCCAUUCUCAAUGACCCAUUUUUCUGCACAUCUUGUCUUUCUGAAAGGUGGCUGUUUGUUUCCAUUAAUUAUAUUAGUCAAAAUGAUCAGCAAAUAUAUAAAACUGGCUUUUGAGACUAUAUUAAUACAAACAACAGUUGUUUCAUUUGUUUGGUCAAAUGACUACGCAUCUAAAGGCUGAAAUAGUUUUUAAAAAACUCUGAUCUUUACAAUGAACCUUUACAUUUAACGUAUAUCAGACGAAUACAGAAUAUUUUCAAUAAAUUUCAAAAUGAGUGCAUUUCAUUUCUGUAUUAGUUGAACUGAAAGUGACAACAAUUAUGUUUCCCUUUAAGCUGUCUAUUUUAACUAUUAACUGCAAUAUUCCAUUGCCAUUUAUAGGAGAAGAAAAUUGCUAUAAUUACAACGUUAAAUAAUUUGAAGAAAAUGGCUUCUGUGGCUUCUACAUUUAAACUAUGAACAUGUGUUUUUUAUUGAAUGCAUAUCCAAUCAGUGCACAUUUUAUUUUAAAGGACAAUUGGCACAAUAACAGUAUGCAACGCUGAUUCACAAAAACUGCUUAUAACUGCUAUAAAGGGCUAUAUUUAAUCUGUCCUAAGAAAAGGUAUGCCUGUGAAUGUCCAUUUAGAGAAUAGAUGAGAAUAAUAGAAAGAAAUAUGAACUUGAGGGGAAGAGCAGAAAAAUAGGAAUUUUGAUCACCAACUGAUAAGAUCUGGCUCAUGCAUUAUGAAUGAAGCCGAAGGUGACUGACUUUCCAGACCAUCUGCAAAAGUAGUUAAGAAACUAAAGGCAUGAAGAGAUGAAUUUGCAUGUGGGUUUAUGGAUUAAUUUACGGGAUAAUAAAGAAUUACUCUCAGCAGAGGAUUGUUUAAUUAAUGUCAGGAGUUUUUUUUUCAGAUGACUAAUAAUUUAAGUCAUUUCAGUUGGACCAUUUAGACAGCACUCCCAACCCGGAGGCUUCAGGGCCCCCUGCUUAUUAAACUCAACAUCAGCGUGUAUAAUUCUGAGUGAGCGUAGACAAGGGCUGCAUCACUGCGGAAGCCACAGUCGGCCAAGUAUUAACAUGGGAGCAGAAAGCUACAUAAUUAUGCAAAACACUAUCCUACUAAAUACACAAGAAAUUGCCAAAGGUAAAGCUUUGAAAAGACUCAAGCUCGAGUUUUUAUUUAUUUAUUAUUGUUACUAUUAUCAUUAACUCGUAACAUCCAGGAAAAAAUGAUGUAUGCAAUGAGGUAGACAAAUAAUAAAGGCAGUGUUUGUGUGCGUGAGAUAAACAUAGAGCAUGGGAGAGAAAAGCGUAGCACCGUGUUAGUCACAACAUGAUGGACCUCAUUGGAAAUACCAACUGACAGGCGUGUUUAAUUUCCUUGCAAUAACAGAAAAUGGUACGUCCUGGAUAAACACUGACAAGGUCUUUCAUCAACAGUAAGUGCCCAUGAUGAACCAUCAAAUGAAGAAAAAACCAUUAGCCCAUAGCGUACGCGGGAGAGAAAAUACUUGCAACUCCAUAAUGGAAUUUAAAGACUUUAAUCAAACCAGCAAAACUGGAUGUAAAUGGCUAAAAUACCAAGUGGAAUCUUUGGUUUAUUUUCAAAUAUGCAAUAGAUGAAAGUGAGGCCACUGAAUUCUAUUUGCAAUACUGUGUGCAUUAUCUGCAUGUACAGAAACAACGUUUUGCAUUUAACGUUUAAAAUUUCAGCUUUACGUUUUCAUAAAGAAUAUAAAUGAACACAGGAACUGUUCUAGAAAAAAUUACACACUCACUGGUAACACUGUUACCACGUAGGAGUAUUUUCUGAAACUACAAAAGCCGAUAGAUGAAAGCCUUUCAGUUGUUGAUGCAGAACACUGGGCAAAAAUGAAUAUUUAUGCAGAGGUACACAUGGGAGCACUUGUAUGCAGCUGAAAGCCAAAAAAUGCAACUCAACUCAUUCUCCUCCCGUCUUCUGUCAGCCCAAACAGCCCCUCGGUCAAACAACCCCUCAAUCAAUUCUCUGCUAAAAACACACCAUCCACCCAUCGUCCUGCUCACACUCACUCUGCCUUCCAAAAACCUUCUUUUGAAGGGGCCAGAAGGCCCGAUCCACCAAAGAGUGUCUUAGUAACAGUCCAAGGGAUGACUGGAAAUUCUCAGCUCGCCGUUUAUCCUCAGACAAAAGCGCCCAGGAAGAAUGAAAGGGAAAUUGGAGUGCCCGCUGAAGCUGCUGAGAGGGCCGCUAGCCGAGGCACAAAUUGCUUCCCUCCUCUCCACCACAGAGCCCUAACAUGGCUGAAGCCAUCCAUUCAUUACCAGCCACCUUAAUGGAACAUCUCUGCCACUGCGGUACCUUUUCUAGUUUAAUGCCAAAUGAGUGCCGUGUGUACUUCACAUCGUAGAAGUCAAACAGGCAAUACGAAGAAGGCGAGUGUGUUGUAAAUCUGGUGCCCAUCUAAAGGAACCUUUCACAAGCCGCCGUCUAACAGCAAUGAGUUGGUUUUGAGGUUAUUUUCUGCACCAAUCAGCUUAGGUAAUAAAAUUGCUCUUUGUGUUAAUUAGAAAAAAAAAAUCCCCAGCGACCAAGAGUUCCUUGAACAAGCCAUUACCCGAAACGUCCGUUGUCCGAAUCAUGAGAGUGCGAGCAGAGAGUGGAAAGAGAAAAAGGAGAGAGAUGUGGCUCACAAAUACUGUGCAGCCAGUUUGUCCAACUCACUACAUCCCAAAGCCCUGUUCUCUUUUCUGGAUGCCUGCCAGGCCAACCAGAGGUCCAGGGAACACAUUCUCUCGUCAGCUAUUAAGAAAAGUCUUGUGAUUGUACCCUGUUUUACAUUUCAUCACAAAUACAAGUUAAAUCUGCAUCAGGCAAUUUCCUCACUGGCAAAACUUUUGAUAAAAAAAGGAGAGAUAUAAAAUAUAUGUAACGUAUGAGGCAGUUGGAGCUGUGUAGAGAAGUAAAUGAUUGAUGGCUCACUGCUCACACAUUUAUGCUAAGUUGAUUUCAAUGUUUUUUUUUUCUUCUUCAAAUAGAGCAGUAAUGGUUCUUCAGGCAUCUGGGCGACUGCACAUCUUGUGCUUUCUAUACGAAUCAUGCGUCACUUCAUACCCGUGCAUGUGCAUGAUUAUGGAAUAUGCAGCAUGUCUGGGGGUCUGACUAGAACUGGGGGUGCAUGGUACAUACCAACCGAGAAGCCAAUUAACAACUCCAGCAGCGGCCUGUUGGACCGGCACCGUGCGGAGGUCUCUGUUAAAUUAAAAUACAAAUGCAAACUUGCCAAAGGGGGGCCAGAGUGCUUGUAAAUCCCAUCCCAGCCACUUUAGGCUGUCACACAGAAGACAGGGCACCGAGAAACUGUCUCUUGAGUCUUCCUCAAGAGACACCUGCAAUCCUGGCCUUAAGUUGUAAAAACGAUGGCACGAUUAAGGUACUUUGUGGAGUUUGGUCCGAUUUGUUGACUGGAGACUCUUUUUAAUUGCUGUGUGCAUGAAGUCACUCAGCCCUUGCUUGGGCUAAUGAGUGGGAACAGUGGUUCCAAAACUCUGCACGUGGCGAUUUUCAACACCCACUUGUUCUCACACCGUCCCACUCAGUUAUUGUAAGACAUUUUAAGUAUAUGUCCCUCCAAAGCACGGAUACGCUGAAUCUCUGUGUUUCUGAAUCGAAAAAGACGUUUCACAUCAAUGUUUGCGUGUAUCAACUUUGUAGUACUUAAACUGCUCCUGCUGCUUGUGCUGUUACCAAACUGUGUUCGACAAGCACAAGUUUUUUUAAGUUUAGUAUAAAAAUCUAAUUUUGAGUUCAAAUAAGUGAAUAAUUUUUCCUCCCCAUCAUUUUUACACAGUCAUACAAAUAUAAUCCAUUAAAAAAAAACAUCCAACAGCACUUAUUUGAUGGUGUAGUUUUUAGAUUUCUGUUUGAAUUUGUUUGAAAAAUUAACAAACAUAAGACCUAUGAUCCACAGUUGUUUAAUCUACUUGUCCUGUAUGUUCUGAAUGCCACUAUAACACUGCAGUUACUACUAGUGGGAGGGGAUGAUUACGGUUUUAGGAAACCGGAGAAAGACCUGAAGGAAGUAUUGAUGUCUUUGAACAAUUUUUUGUUUAUAAUUUAACAUAAACACAUAACAAAAUAGACGUUGUAUCAUUUUAUUGUUGGGUAUUAGUGCUUGUUAUACACAUGUACAGCAUAUUUAUUAUCACAUUGUAUUAUACCUGCAGUGCACAUAUAAGUUCUGUCGUUUUUUUUACCUUUAAUCAUCCAGCCUUGUUUUCCUCGAUCCAAAUUGUUAUUUCUACUUCUGUACAUUGUGAGAGACAAUAAAGAAAGUCAAAUUCCUUGUGCGUUCAGGCAGAAGCACUUCAAAUGAUUCUUAAAAACAUUUAUCUAUCCGAAGGUGGAGAUCAAAGUCAGUGAAUCUGCAGAUUGAAGUCAAGAGCAGGCGUAGGUUAACAGCAGCGGCCUAUUUACCACACUGUUGUGCAGCUGUGCUUGAAUGCAGACUGUUGUUGUGCUCUCUGGAGCUUCUUCUGUCUUUCUACUACAACAAGCAAAUCCCCAAUUUGGAUUGUUGGGAGUUUAUCACCAAUUUAAAGAUGAAUCUAUUUUAAGGGCGCCAUCAUGCAGUCGGUACCUUGUGAAACCUCAUAAAAAUUGCGUAAAACUUGCAGAGCGUGUUUCCACAAAUAGACCUAACGUCCAACUAGUGUCCAUUCAUGUCCCUCCCUACCACUAUGUCAACUGUCUUCCCACACAUAACGAUUAUGUGCUGAGGGUGAACCCUGCUCUAAUUUAACUAACCUAUUCUCAUAU